rfam:Clostridium paraputrificum strain 373-A1 CP373A1_26, whole genome shotgun sequence.
CUCUUAUCAAGAGAGGUGGAGGGACUGGCCCGAUGAAACCCAGCAACCGAUAUGAAUCAUAAGCAUAUGUGGUGCUAAUUCCUGCAGCGUAAAGCUGAAAGAUAAGGU